rnacentral:lncRNA from 1 species
GGCUGUUUAGAAGCAAAUGGAAAAGAAAAGGCAGAAAUGUGUUUCAUGUUUGCAAAUGGAAUAUGAGCCAAUCUUACAUGUCAAAUGUAAUUCAUGUCAGUGUUAACAGCAUUAUUACAGAUGGAACUGUUUACAUUUGAAGGUAAAAUAACAGCUUCAUGACUAGAACAGUCAGGUUUACAAGAAUUAGAAGAAGAAG